rnacentral:lncRNA from 10 species
GAUGAGGAAACACCAGGCGGAGUCCGGAGGAAGCAGCACCGCAUCCCAGCCCCAGGCCUUCCCGGACGGUGUUGGUUGGGGAUCAAGAUGAACACACUGCAGCUGAGGACAAGAGCCCCACAGGGGCUCUUUGUCCGGCAGGAGAGCAGUGGACCCAUGUCAGAGAAGAUGCUUGUAUCUUUUCACGGCUCUUCUCUGAGAAAUGAAGCCACACCAUGAUACAGUCUGCAAGAGGAAGCCAGGAAUGAGUGAUGGCAACAAUCCCUGUCACUGGAACG